rfam:Ixodes scapularis strain Wikel colony gcontig_1107729021306, whole genome shotgun sequence.
GCAUGGCCAUUCUUAGUUGGUGGGGCGAUUUGUCUGGUUAAUUCCGAUAACGAACGGGACUCUAGCCUAUUAAAUAAGUGCGUGGUUCUCUGCACCUUGCACCCUUCUUAAGAGGGACAAGCGGCUUCUAGCCGCACGACACAGAGCAAUAACAGGUCUGCGAU